rnacentral:rRNA from 1 species
GAUGAACGCUGGCGGCGUGCCUAAUACAUGCAAGUCGAGCGAACAGACGAGGAGCUUGCUCCUCUGACGUUAGCGGCGGACGGGUGAGUAACACGUGGAUAACCUACCUAUAAGACUGGGAUAACUUCGGGAAACCGGAGCUAAUACCGGAUAACAUGUUGAACCGCAUGGUUCAACAGUGAAAGACGGUCUUGCUGUCACUUAUAGAUGGAUCCGCGCCGCAUUAGCUAGUUGGUAAGGUAACGGCUUACCAAGGCAACGAUGCGUAGCCGACCUGAGAGGGUGAUCGGCCAAACGGGAACUGAGACACGGUCCAGACCCCUACGGGAGGCAGCAGUAGGGAAUCUUCCGCAAUGGGCGAAAGCCUGACGGAGCAACGCCGCGUGAGUGAAGAAGGGCUUCGGAUCGUAAAACUCUGUUAUUAGGGAAGAACAAAUGUGUAAGUAACUAUGCACGUCUGGACGGUACCUAAUCAGAAAGCCACGGCUAACUACGG